rnacentral:rRNA from 1 species
AUAGCUGGUUGCAUUAACAAAAAGUUAGUGUAAGAUCGACUCUGUCGAAUAAAAUUCUAGAUAGAAUUAUGAUAAUGACAUUAUCUAUCUAUGUGUCUUGACCAAAUUACGUGCCAGCAGUCGCGGUAAUACGUAAAAGACUAGUGUUAUUCAUCUUUAAUAGGUUUAAAGGGUACUUAGACGGUAAAUAAAGCCCGAAUAGGGAACUAAUAUACUAGAGUUUGAUGUAAGGAAGCAUGAAAGUACUGUUGGUGUAGAGAUAAAAUUCUAUCAUACCAAAUAUGGCACAGGUUUAGGCGAAAGCAUCUUCUUAUGUAAUAACUGACGUUGAAGGACGAAGGCUUUGUGUCUCGAACAGGAUUAGAUACCCCAGUAGUCUAAGCAGACAAUGAUGAAUGUCAUAGAUUAGAUUUAAUUAAAUUUAUUCUAUAAAUGAAAGUGUAAGCAUUCCACCUCAAGAGUAAUUUGGCAACAUUGGAACUGAAAUCAUUAGACCGUUUCUGAAACCAGUAGUGAAGUAUGUUGUUUAAUUAGAAGAUACGCAAAAAACCUUACCACAAUUUGAAUUAGUAAUAUGUUUUCACAAGCGUUGCACGGCUGUCUACAGUUAAUGUCGUGAGAUUUUGGUUAGUUCCAUUAAAUUAACGCAAACCCUUACUUUAUUUUUAA